rnacentral:rRNA from 3 species
UAGACCGCCUGGGGAGUACGGCCGCAAGGUUAAAACUCAAAUGAAUUGACGGGGGCCCGCACAAGCGGUGGAGCAUGUGGUUUAAUUCGAUGCAACGCGAAGAACCUUACCUGGUCUUGACAUCCACGGAAGAAUUCAGAGAUGGAUUUGUGCCUUCGGGAACCGUGAGACAGGUGCUGCAUGGCUGUCGUCAGCUCGUGUUGUGAAAUGUUGGGUUAAGUCCCGCAACGAGCGCAACCCUUAUCCUUUGUUGCCAGCGGUCCGGCCGGGAACUCAAAGGAGACUGCCAGUGAUAAACUGGAGGAAGGUGGGGAUGACGUCAAGUCAUCAUGGCCCUUACGACCAGGGCUACACACGUGCUACAAUGGCGCAUACAAAGAGAAGCGACCUCGCGAGAGCAAGCGGACCUCAUAAAGUGCGUCGUAGUCCGGAUUGGAGUCUGCAACUCGACUCCAUGAAGUCGGAAUCGCUAGUAAUCGUGGAUCAGAAUGCCACGGUGAAUACGUUCCCGGGCCUUGUACACACCGCCCGUCACACCAUGGGAGUGGGUUGCAAAAGAAGUAGGUAGCUUAACCUUCGGGAGGGCGCUUACCACUUUGUGAUUCAUGACUGGGGUGAAGUCGUAACAAGGUAACCGUAGGGGAACCUGCGGUUGGAUCACCUCCUUACCUUAAAGAAGC